UUCGCAAUGCCCGAAAGGGUGACGAAGCGACGCCGCGUGGGUGAGGAAGGCCUUCGGGUUGUAAAGCCCUGUCAGGAGUUAAGAAAUGUAGAUUCGCUAAUAUCGGGUCUAUUUGACAAAGGCUCCAAAGGAAGCCACGGCUAACUCUGUGCCAGCAGCCGCGGUAAUACAGAGGUGGCAAGCGUUGUUCGGAAUUAUUGAGCGUAAAGAGCACGUAGGUUGUUUUGUAAGUCAGGUGUGAAAGCCUUCUGUUCAAAGGAAGAACGGCAUCUGAAACUGCAGAUCUUGAGUAUAGGAGGGGAGAGUGGAACUUCUGGUGGAGCGGUGAAAUGCGUAGAUAUCAGAAGGAACGUCGGCGGCGAAAGCGACUCUCUGGCCUAUUACUGACACUGAGUGUGCGAAAGUUAGGGGAGCAAACGGGAUUAGAUACCCCGGUAGUCCUAACCGUAAACGAUGGGCACUAAGUAGAGGGGUUUU
rnacentral:rRNA from 1 species